UACGUAGGGGGCUAGCGUUGUCCGGAUUUAUUGGGCGUAAAGGGCUCGUAGGCGGCUCAGUAAGUCGGGUGUGAAACCUCCAGGCUCAACCUGGAGACGCCACUCGAUACUGCUGUGGCUAGAGUCCGGUAGGGGAGCAUGGAAUUCCUGGUGUAGCGGUGAAAUGCGCAGAUAUCAGGAGGAACACCAGUGGCGAAGGCGGUGCUCUGGGCCGGAACUGACGCUGAUGAGCGAAAGCGUGGGGAGCAAACAGG
rnacentral:rRNA from 1 species